UAUCUCAGGAACGCGCAUUGCACAUGCAAGUCGAACGAUGAAGCCCUUCGGGGUGGAUUAGUGGCGAACGGGUGAGUAACACGUGGGCAAUCUGCCCUGCACUCUGGGACAAGCCCUGGAAACGGGGUCUAAUACCGGAUAUGACCAUCUUGGGCAUCCUUGAUGGUGUAAAGCUCCGGCGGUGCAGGAUGAGCCCGCGGCCUAUCAGCUUGUUGGUGAGGUAAUGGCUCACCAAGGCGACGACGGGUAGCCGGCCUGAGAGGGCGACCGGCCACACUGGGACUGAGACACGGCCCAGACUCCUACGGGAAGGCAGCAGUGGGGGAAUAUUGCACAAUGGGCGAAAGCCUGAUGCAGCGACCCCGCCGUGAGGGAUGACGGCCUUCGGGUUGUAACCUCUUUUCGCAGGGAAGAAGCGGAAGGUGACGGUACUCGCCAGAAGAAGGCGCCGGCUAACUCCUUGCCCACAAGCCCGGGAUAUACGUUAGGGCGCAGCCUUUGCCGGAAUUAUUGGCGUAAAAGUUCGAAGGGGGUUUGCCCGUCAUUGUGAAGUUCGGGCUUACCCCAAUCUGCAGUCGAUCCGGCUACUUAAAGGGGGAGGGGAAUCGG
rnacentral:rRNA from 1 species